rnacentral:rRNA from 1 species
AUUGAACGCUGGCGGCAGGCCUAACACAUGCAAGUCGAGCGGCAGCGGGAAGUAGCUUGCUACUUUGCCGGCGAGCGGCGGACGGGUGAGUAAUGUCUGGGAAACUGCCCGAUGGAGGGGGAUAACUACUGGAAACGGUAGCUAAUACCGCAUAACGUCGCAAGACCCAAGAGGGGGACCUUCGGGCCUCUUGCCAUCGGAUGUGCCCAGAUGGGAUUAGCUAGUAGGUGGGGUAACGGCUCACCUAGGCGACGAUCCCUAGCUGGUCUGAGAGGAUGACCAGCCACACUGGAACUGAGACACGGUCCAGACUCCUACGGGAGGCAGCAGUGGGGAAUAUUGCACAAUGGGCGCAAGCCUGAUGCAGCCAUGCCGCGUGUAUGAAGAAGGCCUUCGGGUUGUAAAGUACUUUCAGCGGGGAGGAAGGUGUUGAGGUUAAUAACCUCAGCAAUUGACGUUACCCGCAGAAGAAGCACCGGCUAACUCCGUGCCAGCAGCCGCCGUAACAC